UACGGGGGGAGCAAGCGUUGUUCGGACUUACUGGGCGUAAAGGGCGCGUAGGCGGCCACCGCAAGUCGACUGUGAAAUCUCCGGGCUUAACCCGGAAAGGUCAGCCGAUACUGCGGGGCUAGAGUGCAGAAGGGGCAACUGGAAUUCUCGGUGUAGCGGUGAAAUGCGUAGAUAUCGAGAGGAACACCUGCGGCGAAGGCGGGUUGCUGGGCUGACACUGACGCUGAUGCGCGAAAGCUAGGGGAGCGAACAGG
rnacentral:rRNA from 1 species